rnacentral:rRNA from 1 species
GGAGGCGUAAAGCGGCGAACGGGUGAGUAAGACGUGGGCAAUUUGCCUCGAAGCUGGGGAUAAGUCCUCGAAAGGGGGUCUAAUACCGAAUAAAAUCCCGGGAUGGCAUCAUUCCGGGAUCAAAGGUUCGCAAGAAUCGCUUUGAGAUGAGCCCGCGGUCCAUUAGCUUGUUGGUGAGAUAAAAGCCCACCAAGGCUAUGAUGGAUAGCCGACCUGAGAGGGUGUUCGGCCACACUGGGACUGAGAUACGGCCCAGACUCCUACGGGAGGCAGCAGUAGGGAAUAUUGCGCAAUGGGCAAAUGCCUGACGCAGCGACGCCGCGUGGAGGAUGAAGUUUUUCGGAAUGUAAACUCCUGUCGGUGGGGAAGAAUAUUCCCGAUUAUAUCGGGGACUGACGGUACCCACAGAGGAAGCUCCGGCUAACUCCGUGCCAGCAGCCGCGGUAAUACGGGGGGAGCAAGCGUUGUUCGGAAUCACUGGGCGUAAAGAGCGUGUAGGCGGGCAGAUAAGUCAGACGUGAAAUUUCUCCGCUUAACGGAGAAACUGCGUUUGAAACUAUCUGUCUUGAGUACGGGAGAGGAAGUGGAAUUCCUGGUGUAGCGGUGAAAUGCGUAGAUAUCAGGAGGAACACCUGUGGCGAAGGCGGCUUUCUAGCUCGAUACUGACGCUGUGGCGCGAAAGGCUAGGGUAGCAAACAGAAUUAGAUACUCUGGUAGUCCUAGCGGUAAACGUUGGGCACUAGUGUUGGUUCUUUAAAGGGAUCAGUGCCGAAGCUAACGCAUUAAGUGCCCCGCCUGGGGAGUACGGCCGCAAGGUUGAAACUCAAAGGAAUUGACGGGGCCCGCACAAGCGGUGGAGUAUGUGGU